CUCACAAAGCAGAACGCCGCGUGAGCCUUGUGGUGGAGCGCGUCACCGCAGUGGAACCCCACACUGCUCAAGGAUAUGACGGAGAUGUUGUUCUGAUGAUACGUGAAGGCUCCUAAAGCCUAACCCCGGACUAGCUUCCUCUCUCAAGGACACUCGGAUUCCUCGCGCGUCGUAGACGUAAUUCAUCCGCCCGCGGGGCGGUUACAAGCGCUCAACAUUAGCCAUCAGAAGAGACGGAGAGAAAAAGGAACCCAUUGAGGUGUUAAAACACUGCAGAGCUUUCUACCGCAUCUCUCCUUCACUGAAAUACACAAUAGAUAAAAGAGGAGUUCCUCUGCACACGUCACACGUCCCGCGAGGGGCUCGUCUGACACGGGGACCCGUGGGAAGGUCACGGUGGUUACGCGUUAACACAACAGGUGACUCGCCGUGACUCAGUGAGCCACGUUCUGCCGACACGCCGUCACACUUGACAUUUCCUGAGUGAGAUAAUUCACGAGCCGUAUCUCAGCGACACGCCUGGAGGGAGCGUCAGUCCGCUGCGGAGCCGGAGCCGCCGCCACCAUCAUACGAUGUCGCUCGAGUCGGGGUCAACUUCCUCGCCGGGGGGGGGGGAGUAGAUGGCGAUAAGUGACCCGCCUGAUUGGUUGUGCGUCCGUUGAUGCUGCCUGCGUCGCAUCACAGCAACGGCACUGAAGCAGCCGUGUUUCGGGAGGACGAGGACGUCUCUGAGGACGAUUGUAUGAAGGUCAAAUCCUGCUGUGGAAAGUUAAAAGUUUCCAAAGAAAGUCCGAAGAGAAGCUCAGAAAUAGGUUUGGCCCGACUGCGACUGGGCGUAGAUUACUGUCAUCACACCAGAGCUGUGUCUCACACACACACACACACACACACACACACACACACAAGGAGUUCAGUCUAUUAUCUGCUCAUCGAGGUGCUCUUGUCAUACAUCUUCUCUCUCCUCGUCUUCACCUCACUCAGGAGGGUGGAGGGGACGGGUGGGGGGGACGGGUGGGGGGGCCGAGGGGAGGAAGCCUUGAAUGACGACAGUCGGCGAGCGCUCCUCCACCCCUCCGUCUUUCAGUGGGUUUCAUCAGCGAUUGGGCCGAUCGGGCGGAUUGGAGGAGGCUCCGUCUCUCCGUGUGACCGACCUCAUCUCCUGAUUUUCAUCACGGCUUUUCCUCUCUUUUAUUAGUGCUGCUGCAUCUCGUAUCCAACGGGGCCGAUUGCUGGAGACAAUCUUCUUAUUUAAAUGCCCUCUUUUUCUCCUGUACGUGUCUGGAGUAACUACCAACCACAAACUGUCAAAUUAGACACAAGCAGUCACUGGAAUCUACCCGGUACAAUUCAUUUUUUCAAAAGUGAGUCAUGAGUCACAUGACUCACACCCUUCUGAUAUAUUAUUUUACUUUUCAGUGGGUUUUAUUCAAAGCAGUCCUCAAAUCUAUACUUUAGUUUCCAUUUACCAUAUAAAGAAACAGCAUCUCCAAAAUAUCGAAUCCAGAGUGUGUGUGUGUGUGUGUGUGUGUGUGUGUGUGUGUGUGUGUGUGUGUGUCCGAGAGAGAGCGACUUCAGUGGGUCUCGUUUGUUUACGGUGAGAUUUGUUAAUUAACAGGGUUUCCCUGUAAUUCAAAUACACACUUGACACCUUUUGAAGCAGUACAAUAAUAUUUAGUCGCAUAUCAAACACAGUGGCUCAUUUAAACAUGAAUUUCAUAGCACAGAUUUUUUUUUAUUUAAAUAAGUAAUCAGAACAGAAGACAAAUAAAACAGUAUAUGAAAUAAAAGGAGGAGCAUCAUGAUUGAUGUACAAGUUGAGUCUCACGCUGCUGGUUUGAGUGGACACUAAGUGUGUGUGUGUGUGUGUGUGUGUGUGUGUGUGUGUGUGUGGGGCCAGGAGGCCUCUGGGGUCAAUUUGAACAGGAUGUGAAGUCUCUCUUUAAGUUUUGACGGACAGUAAUAUCGUUAUUUCUUAUAAUGAUGUUACCAAUUCAUAUUCUUACCAAUAUAUUUUAAUUUUUAGUUUAAUUAAACCAUUAACUAUCUACCCAAUGUGCUCAUAUGUUAACAUUGUAUGUUUACAACCUGUAUCUUCCUCUGCUGGUGUGUGUUCAUUGGUACUGUGUCUCCGUCAGGUCACCUGAGCUAUGAUACUGUCAGUAAUGUGUGUGUGUGUGUGUGUGUGUGUGUGUGUGUGUGUGUGUGUGUGUGUAGCUCGACUGAUGACAUCAUCGGCUUUCUUCACUUCAGGAUCGUAGAGGUUUUGAUUCUCUGUCACAGUGUUAUACAAGGACGUUGGCCUCUAUACUGGAGACACACACACACACACACACACAGGUCAAUUUAAAGACCCAUUAUCUGUGUGUGUGUGUGUGUGUAAUAGCCAUGCUAUUACAGGGUAAUGGACAGGUUGUUUAGAGGUGUGAUUGAUGUGUGUAUCUCAUGUCCUUUUUGUUCUGUGUACCUGUGUGUGUGUGUGUGUGUGUGUGUGUGUGUGUGUUAAAUUGUUUUCAGUUUCUGAUGUAAACAAGAGAAUGACCCCCGUGAUUGGUCGGGCAGGUCCAGCGAUGAUUCAAUGUCCACAGCGACAUCAUUGUUCUUCAUGAACAGUGAAAAAUUUUUAUCUUUCUUUUUCUCUCCCAUGACUCUUAUUAUAUUUCCCUUAUUAUGAGCGCUGAGCUAAACACACACAGCUGCAGUUGUAGUUUCUCCAGACUGGACCAAAGGUCUAUUUUCACUAGGUAGCAAAAUGAUCAUAAACAUCUCUGUAUUUCCUCCCUCGGUCUCAAUCUGCUGCGUCAGCUCUUUUGUUUUUCUAUAUAUUUUUGGUCCUUUAUUUGAAUCCCACCCAAAUGGGCUGGAGAUGAAUCACAGGAAUCUAAUAACGAAAGAGCAGACGUGAUGGAUCAUUUCUUCUCCGCGUACUACGAGGACCAAUCGCUGUAGUGCUGCAAACACCAGGAAGAAGGGAAAGGACACAGCUGUGGUUCCAGAGAGGACCUCCAUAUUUAUCUCUUCAAUAUGUGACCCCGUCUGCUUGGAGAUGAAUGUCACUAAUUUGCCCUUCCAGUUGUUGUUUGUAUGAAAAACAUCAUUUGUGCCUGCAUUGUGUUCACCGGCUGCAUCUUGUGCACAGAAUGAGGCUUUCAGGUGCACGGCGUGCGUUCACGGGGUGAAGGUGGGCGUGCAGAGCGCAGCACUCUGACACCGGACGCCACAUUCUGCGUAGUUUAUGCAACAAAACUAAAGGAAAUCACUUUGGAAGAUGAGCCACAGAUGCCAGAUGGAUAUUUUCCACAUUAUGCCGAUUGAUGGUCGACCGUCCCUUUGACCCGCUCGGCAGAACGACUAUUCUCCUGCAAACAGAACAGCACUCGUACGGUAAAAGGUUUGUGUGUGUGUGUGUGUGUGUGUGUGUUAGAGGCAGGGUGUUAAUCACUAGUCCGUCCCGCUAAUACAGAGAGCAUCAUUGCAAUCAGCCUCAAAACCAAUUAAUUCAACAUCUGCUCUGAUCCAAUUUGCCUCUUCCGUGUUUUGACGAUGUAUCCACACACAAUUAUUCCCUUAAUCUGAUGAGAACAAUUAGCCUCCUCGCCGCGGCGUCGCCGCCUUGUUACGGAGCGUCGCUCAUCCGCAUCGCAGCAGUCCGACCGGCUCGCGGCGGCUGUCUCUCGCCGCGUUUUCCUCUUCACGACGACGAGUGCGCUUCGGUGGACUUUCAGAGCUGUUUCCUUAAUCAGUCGUUGUUGCUUUUGUGCUCUUUAUAUAUGUAUAUAUGUAUGUAUGUAUGUAUGUAAAUGCAUCCGGCGCUACAUUAAACGGAACCCUGCGGUGUCGACCUCGUCUCAUCAGUGUGUGUGUGGCCGGGCACAACAACCAUAACUCUCCGUUAUUCAUCAGGCGCUUUGAGCCUGGACGGAGCGCUGAGUGACGCACACAAUCCUACCGUGGUGGCACUGUGAUGUGUGUGUGUGUGUGUGUGUCACCCGCUGGGCCAUAAGUCAGCGCAUGUGUACGCAGGUUGAUUUAGAGAGCCAGUUUAAAUGCUAAGUCCCGACACUCGCUCAGCAGCCGUGACAGCCGCUGUGAGGACGCUGGCAUUAAUCAGGGGACAAUCAGGAGGACGCUCCUCUGGACAAACGCGCGUCAGUCAGGAUGAGGCGUUAUUAAAGUGUUGCCUUUCCUUUGGCUCCGCCUCUUGUCACUCAGCUCUGCUGACGUUGACGUGGCCCCAUUUUUCAUUUUAAACUUCAUCGAAUGUUGGACCGUUUGUUCCACGUGGAGAUCCCAGAACUUCUGUCCCGUCUCCUUCUGCCCAGUGACAAGUAGUGACAUUUGUGUCUGAACUCCCUAACAAAUACAUUAAAGGCACCAUUGUUAUUGCUAUUUGAACAAAAUAUAAAAAAGUGUUUCUUGAUAUUUUUUAAUAGAGUACUAGAAGAAAUAAUCUUAAACCUAAUAAACAUGUUUCUGGCCUUUUUCACAACCGUUUCCACCCAAACUAAGUACUGGUUGAUCUUCUCCUGCUGGAUGGGAGGACUAACGCACUCCACCUGUAUGCGGGGGCUGUGUGGGACCCCCCUGUGAGGCCAUAAGCUGCAUUGGUCACGCCAGGUGACACUAGUGCGUGUUGUCGUGGCACGGCAUCGUCAUGCUGUUAUGGAACACGCAUGUUCUCCCAUCUGCUGCACACGGGGGCGUCGACCAAGGUAACCGUCGACCCAUUUCCACCAAAACCCCCGAAGAGGAAAAGCUUCACAGCGGAGCCUCCUCUGUGACCGGCGUUCUGCUGUAGGGUGUUGCUGUUAUUCUGUCCACCCCCUGUGGAGCCUCGUUAUCUCCCUGAAGGCCCCACACAGGCCGCCCCAAACAAGCCGCCCCACACAGGCCGCCCCAAACAAGCCGCCCCACACAGGCCGCCCCAAACAGGCCGCCCCAAACAAGCCGCCCCACACAGCCUGCCCCAAACAGGCCGCCCCAAACAAGCCGCCCCACACAGGCCGCCCCACACAGCCUGCGCCACACAGGCCGCCCCACACAGCCUGCGCCACACAGGCCGCCCCACACAGGCCGCCCCACACAGGCCGUCCCACACAGCCUGCCCCAAACAGGCCGCCCCAAACAGGCCGGCGCUCCGUGAGCAUCGUACAGUCGUUUCAGGUGACAGAGGGAACGUGGCGGAUCAGCACGAGCCAAACCAAUUUGGGCUUCGCCAACCGUCGCCAAGCAGCUAAUUGCAGAUUUGCAUUUCCAUCUCGACAGAUUGAUUGCGGCAGCAGCCGAGAGACAAAUUAAAACACUGCUAAAGAGCGGAAAGAGAGACG
ensembl:lncRNA